GCCCGACUAGCUCAAAGGACAGAGCAGGCAGCUACGGACUGUCAGAUCAGGGUUCGAUUCCUUGGUUGGGUAC
rnacentral:tRNA from 6 species